ensembl:rRNA 5S_rRNA 5S ribosomal RNA
GCUUACGGCCAUACCACCCUGAGCACGCCCGACCUCGUCUGAUCUCGGAAGCUAAGCAGGGCUGGGCUUGGUUAGUACUUGGAUGGGAGACUACCUGGUGCUGUAAGCC